CCUGCCCACCCCCCUGUGACCCACACCACCUUCCCACCACCUCCACUCCUGCCCACCCGCAGCCCAUCACCCUUAUGGCAGCUGUCCCCUGGAAGUCUCCUGACCCCUGCACCUCUCCCCCACACUCCAUACCUCCCCCCAGAGGUCCCAGAGCGAGCCCCAGCUCCUCUCCACUUGUUGUCCCCAUCCUGCCGCCUCCCCAAUUCCCCGAGGCACUGCCACUGAGUCCAGGCUCGGAGGGACCUUGGGGCCCCACUCUGGCUUCCCAUCCGUGGUGCCCAGGACCCCUCUCCGGAGAUUCUGAGGCUCUGCCCCUCCUCUGGCCCCUCCCAUCGUGCCCUGCGCCCUGACUGCACUCCUGCUCUACGGACCAGCCUGAGCCUGUGGCAUCGUCCUGGCCCAGGUGACCGAAGGUCAGGCCGGGGCUCUGGCCGCCGUCGCGCCAGCUCUCGUGGUUGACCCGGUCCAGGAUGGAGAGGCCGUCCAGACGGUGGCCCGGGAGGGAGCCCAGCGCACCGAGCAGCCUGGUGAGCAGGUAGUCAGUGGAGACCCUGGGGGCCGGGACAGCACACAUACCCGGUCAGCAUCGGGGCUCCGGCCAGCCGUCCAGGGACACGCUGCAUCCCCAGAAAGGAAAGCCCCCAGCCGUGGCCUCCCCAGGAUCAGGUCUUGAGCCCCACAGGAUGGCCCAGGCCACGGCAGGGACUAUGCCACCGCACUCGGCCCGGCCCAGCCCCACGAAUGUCAUCCACUUCCAAGGAUUAACUGUGAGAGCGACCCCUGCUUACUUCAGCCCCAGGCUGCAUUCCCUGGGCGUGGGAGCCAGUGGGGCAUCACCCUGGCCAAACCACAGUGGCCUUGCUGUUUAAGUCCUGUCAGAGCUGGAUGGGGCUCAGUCCCCAGCCCUUGGUUCGGGGUCUCAAGGGGAGCUCAGCCUCUGCCCCACGUCCCCUACUCUGUCUCUCCUGCUCACGGACACCAACUCGGGGUCUCCCUUUGCCGGCCGGAGAGGGAGGGGAAGGGGCAUCCGCACCUCCCCCAGCUCGCAGACUCCUGGGGUGGAGACGGGGGGGCCCCACAGGGGCUGCUGGGGCUCUGGGGCCAGGCGGGGGCGGGGACACCACAGGUGGUGGUCUGCUGGCAGGAGGACCUACCGUCUCCUAAUGGGGAAGGGCCACCGGGACAGGAAAUGCUAGCAAAUUCCCGGUGUGAUAGCAUCCCCCACCUCACUGUGUGGACACCCCUCCCGACUGUCCCCGGAACCUGUGGGACCCUGGGUGAGUCACCCGGCCUCUGGUGUCCAGAGCCUUCUGCGUUUCUCUGAGUGUCCCCUCACAGCCCGCCCUGGCCCCCGGCUCGGGCGGCAGGGGGCAUGGCUCCACCCUCCCCGCAGCUCCAAGAGGGGCGAAGCUGGCGGUGGGCAGUGAUGACCCCACGUCCCCCAGAGAUCCCAGGGACGUCAGCGUGGCACAGAAGCCUAUGGGGCAGAGGCGGGGGGAGGGGGUCCCCGCAGACCUUCCUGCCCGGAGUGGGAAGAACAGUGGGGUGGCAGCCCCCUUCCCGCCGGCUCCCCAGGACCCCACAGACCCCAGGACGCGUGUCCGACCUCCAGUGCUGGGCACUGGCUGGCACCAGGGCCGCUUCUUGGCUGAUGAUCCUUUUCAAGCUCCCUUCGGGGAACCCGCACAUCCACUGAGCCCUCUCCAGGACGGGCACCCCGAGCUUUCUCCGCACCGUGGGCACGAUGUUGAACCGGAUGGUUCGCCAGCCGCUAGACACGAGCAGGGACAGGUGGGACUCCUUCUCCUCCAGGCUGUCCGCGUUCAGAGAACCUGCAACAGCCACCGUGCCCUGGAACCCUCAUCUCAGACGGCCCCCCGCGCCUCUGGGAAGGGGCCGGGCAGGUGAAGGACAGGGCCAGGCCCGGGACGGCUCGGGGUUAACACACAUGACCCCAGAGGCCCGGUGUCGGGAGAUGCGUGCCUGGUGCCCCGCGCCCAGGAGGGCCUGGAUCCAAAGGCUAACAGUGGACGCACCUGGCUUCCACUCCACACCCUGGGUCCCCAGAGCCACAGGCCAGAUGGCGCAUUCCAGUAAAGAUGCUUCCCGCUCCCGUCACCCCUCGGACCCAGCCCAGCACCCACACCCAGAGCCCAGAGCCCCCAGACCACCCAGGAGGGGACAUUCCAAGGGUGACAGGGCUGGAGGCUGGCGAGGCGGAGACACUCGGGGAUGACCCGGGGCCCUCUGGCCUUCCUCCUCAGCUGUCCCUUCUCCCCCAGUAAACAAAUUAAUACCACAGAGAGAGGAGGGGAGCUGAGCAGUGUGGGGGACACUCCUGUCACCGGCCCUUACCAACCCCAGCCAACACCAGACUCGGAGACGUCCCUCCUUCCCUCCCCCAGCACUGCCCAGUGAGGGUGCUGGUCAGGGGUCAGGGGACCGACCGUCUGGGAGCCAUGUCCCGAAGGGAACCCCCAACGUGUGCCUUGAAAGUAGGUCUCUGCAGGGACUGAGCACGGGGGGUGGGACUCCUCACGUCCUACAGCGGCACGCAGCCCGCCCUGGCCCACCCACGGCCUGGGGGUCUUGUAGGAAGGAGCCUGGGCCCCGUUAUGCAGACCGCUCCCCCCAAAGCCCUGUGGGGUAUUCCAGGUCCUGGCCCUGCCACCGGGCCACUCCAUCGCCUACAUGGGCCUCAGUUUCCCCAUCGGUUACAGGAAGGAAGGAGCUCAGUGACCCCUGGCCCCUUCCAAUUCAGGGUUUGAGGCACUUGUCAUCCAAAGCCACUACUGGUGGCUUCAUUUCCCUACCUACCGUCGGUCACACAUUCUGUCCACGGAGGCGGCUUGGAGGGCGGCCAGCCACACCCGCAGCCUGUCCCAGCCACUCCCUGCCUCAGCCCCCAGCCCGGUCUCACCGGUUUGUUCCCAGGUGCGGGCAGCCUCAACCUCGCCACCUGGGGUUGCUCUGCUUCCCUUUUAAGGUAAGUGUCUGGGAGCAAUGCUUGGAAUUUCCCUGCGUGCCCAGCUCGGUCGGCCCCUUGGGCGUGGCUCCCAGCCUCCUCUGCUUUGCCGGGCCGGGGGACGGGGGACGGUGGGGACCUGGGAGUGGCAGCUCAGAGUGUGCCUGAAAGGCCCAGGGCUGGGCCAUCCCAGCAGGCGGGGCAGACGGCCUGCAGGUGACAGGGCCAGGUGGGCACGGCCACUGUAGAUCACGGAAGAAGACAGCAGUGGCCCUGCCAAGUCACCUGCGGUAAUUGAAAGGUUCAGAAGAUGACCAGAGAAGAUGUCCGAGGGGCCUGAUGACAGGUUCCGGCUGCCCUGGGAGGGCUCUAUCUAUCGUCAGCUCUGAGAGGGUGGCCACCCGCCCGGGUCUCCAGGCAGGUCUGGAGAGGGGCCAGGGUUGGACGUCGCCCCUCUUGCUGUCGGGAGACCGUCCAGAAGCCUCUCUGAGCAGCCCGGGGCAGGCCACUGUCCCUGCGACGGGCUGACCGUCCAUCCCCGUUCUCUGACGUCAUGAAAGACACGAGGACCAGGCGGCUGCCAGCGCCAUGGCCUGUUCCUUCCCAAGGGAAACGGGACUUCUGUUUGCGUCCCCACUUCUCCGCCAGGACAACCCGCUGUAUUUGCUCGGGCCCCGAGGAGGGUGGUCUGCUGUCCUGGGCCUGCACCCGCUGCACACACGCACCCACGCUGUCCUCCCGCUCCGUGCACUGUGACCAGAUGCCGGAAGCGGGGACGCCCGUCAUGCUGAGCUGGAACUGAUAACAGAACCACCUGCCCAGAACUAUGGCAGGGACCGUCACCAAGCAGAUCAGCCAGAAACCCCGUGCCCCGGACUUAGCUUCUAGCUGUUCGUCAAGUAGCAUCCGUUAACGUGUUACCGCCAAAGUCACCAUGUGAAAAUCAGGCAACGUGGAAAUGGG